GAGGUCCCGAGCGUUGUUCGGAUUCACUGGGCGUAAAGGGUGCGUAGGUGGCGAGGUAAGUCGGAUGUGAAAGCUCGGAGCUCAACUCCGAAAUGGCAUUGGAAACUACCUUGCUCGAGGGUUGGAGGGGGGACUGGAAUACUUGGUGUAGCAGUGAAAUGCGUAGAUAUCAAGUGGAACACCAGUGGCGAAGGCGAGUCCCUGGACAACUCCUGACACUGAGGCACGAAAGCUAGGGGAGCAAACAGGAUUAGAUACCCUGGUAGUCCUAGCCGUAAACGGUGCAUGUUUGCUGUAAAAGGAUUCGACCCCUUUUGUGGCGUAGCCAACGCGUUAAACAUGCCGCCUGGGAAGUACGGUCGCAAGAUUA
rnacentral:rRNA from 1 species